UUAAUCAGAAUUUACGAGCCGUUAAUUUGGUGGGACCGAAUUAUUACGGUGUAGAUCGACUGAUGAAAUCCUCCAUAAAAAAACUUGAUUUACUUUAUUUUAUAUUACGUUUAUCUGAAUCAAUCUAUUACUCAUGAUAUAUAUUCCUAAAAAAGAACUCCCGAUCUGCAUGUUAUGUAUUUCCAGUCGUUGGAUCACAAUACUCAUGGAGUCCCAAUAAAAAAAACUGAACACGCACGCCUCUGUUUACAGAAUCUUCAUCCUGCAACCUAAAAGAACAGCUCCCUCACAUAAAAAAAACAUCUCCCCUCGACCCCUCUCUGCUGAACCUUCUCUGUCCCAUUGGCACGUCUUCCUUUAGAUCUCUCCUCAAUCUCUCUCUCUCUCUCUCUCUCAACCUUUAGAUCUCUUAUUUAAAGUUUUCUAAUCAUGUAUGGUUGAUGCAGAAGCAGAGGUGUAUCCAGGAUAGUUUGAAGAAAGGAUGCCGCUAUUGAAAUUUGAGGUGCCCAAGUUGAGGAAUAGGUUGGACUGGCGGCAGAACAACUCAUACUCGAAACCCUAUUCAAGUUCAUCUGCCCCACCCCACCGGUAAAUAACCCCGCAUUGUUAAAUCCCUCCUCUAUAUCUGCUGAAUUCAUCACAUAUCCCCUAAUAAUUUCGCUUGAUCCAUAACGUCUCAUCAGGAAAAACUAGCUCUUCCUGUUUCUAUCUUCCAGAACAUCUCUUCCCUGUAUCAGAUUAUACAUCUUGGGGAGCGAACGAAAACCAGCAAUCUGGUCUGCAUGCAUCGCCUAAGGUUAUACCCUGUUGUAAGCUUGUGUUAGGCACUAACAUUACAUCUACAUCAAGCACCCAUGCGCUGACCAGUUUACAUUGAUUGUUUAUAGGAAGCUUUACACAGGUGUCUUUGUGGCCCUUUGUAAGAAAACAUAAUUAGUUGAUGAUUUCUACAGAGAGAAUUUUGUUUUAUGUUAUUUCUUCCAAGUAAACGUUAGUUGUUAGAUUAUCUGUGUGGUAGCAUGGUAUAUGCAUUUAUUAAUUUUGCCUUCUAGGAUUAAAAAAGGUAUGCUUACAUUUAAGUUUUACAAACAUACCAAGUUUUCAAAAUGAUUUAUAGUGUAUAAUCUUUCCUUUGUAAAUCUGUAGUAAGAUUUUCAAACUGUUGCCCAUGCUAAAAAUAAGCUAGAUGUAUGAUCAAUCGCAUAAUCCCAUGUUGUAAUUCCACGUUAGUUCUACCAAAAAAAUUUGUUGAAAAGGCCUAGAAAUCUUCUCUUGGGUUAGGAAUCUUACGAGCACAUGACUCAUGCUGUAAUCCCACGUUAAUUCCACCUAUAAAAUGCUGAAAAAGGCCUACAAAUCUUUCUCUCCGAUUACAAUCGUACAAGCAUGGGACUCCUCUCCUUCCUUUCUCCCAGCGCAGGACUCCUCCAUCUAAAAAAAGCACGGGACUCCUCUCUCCUGAUUCGUGUACAAAUCUGCCUCUGCCUGCAUGGCAGCAUUGAUGGUGGGCGGCGAAGAAAGGAUCGAUCAUCUGCAGUAACCACGCCGGCGUUCCCACCUCCCAAACCCUCCUCACGUUCUCAUGUCGCGCACGUCACACUUCAACUGCCUCAGCGGGAUUCCCUGCAGCAGCAAUGCGAGGCUGGAUGGCCUCCAGUGCCAGCGCGCCUUCAUAUCCAUCAAGUCCUCGGACUAUCCCUGCAAGCAAGGCUGCUGGCACAUGGUUUCCGAUGCAAUUUUUUGAAACUACAGACUGAGAGUGGUUUGAUUAAUCUGGUAUUAAUUUGAGUGCAGCAACAGUGACAUAAUAGCCUAUGGAUUGGUUAGUAAUUAUACCAUCAUUGAUUACUUCAGUUUUUCUAAUUUGGAUAAUAUAUGUUUGACUUAGUGUAGCUCAUGUCAUCCAUCUGUUUUUGAAGCAUGUACGUUGUGAUCGUCCAAGUAUGCAAAUAAAACAAUUCAGUCUGAGUCAUUCAUAUUAUUUUCUAUAUAAUCGUUGGAUCACACAGUCCUUGCUUUUCUCAUACUUCGAUCAUACAGUAUCAGUUAGCCGUCUAAGAAGUCAUAGCGAUUACGAGGUCAUGGAGGUAUAUGCCAUGAACUAAUGUAGUGAAAUCCGUUUAUUUUGGGGUACUUUGGUCAUGCAUGUUUUUCUGCUAUUAGUCAUUAUUAAGGUAGAAUCUUAUUAUCUUUAGUUCCAAAUCAUUUCGGAUUCGUGAUUUCAGGGUGCAGGUGGAAGGUAUCAAAUCUGCUUCUGCCUCCAUGGUGCCUGCAAUGGCGGCGGUCCAUGGUUUCCAAUGCAAUUUUCUUGAAAUUAUAUAUAUACCGAGAGCGUUUGAGUCCAGCAACAGUGGCAUAAUAGCUAAUGAAUUGGUACAACUUUGUGAUCAUCCAAACAUGGAAAUCAAUCACACUUCAGGUUCAAUCAUUCAUAUGAUUUUCUACGACAUCGUUGGAUCACAUAGUCGUUGCUUUUCUCGGACUCUCCACAGAUUAUCAGUUGGCCGCUCAAGUAGGCGUUAGCUAUUACGAGGUUAUUGAGAUAGCAAGUUAAUAGGACCAAGUAUUUAUAGUUGUUCAGCCAUAAUAUAUGCCACCAACUAAUCAUGUAUUUUGGGGUAUUGAGUUCAUCCAUGUUUUUCGGCAGUUAGUCAUUAUUGAGGUAUAAUAUCAUCAUCUAAUAUAGAUUAUGUCAUGCAUAUUUAGAAAAUUCAGUUUCAUAAAAUAAUUCAGGAUCGUCUGAUUAGCAGCCAGAAUGGAAAUCCUUAAGUUGUUGUAAUUAAGUCUGCACAACCAUAGGUAUUAAACUAAUUCCUCUCUAUACAGUUAUUUAUAAAGUCUACUCCUUCCAUGUCUAAUAUAUCUUCGUAAAAAAUGCAUUGUGCUACACCAGAGAAAUUAUAUUCAAACAUUCCUUUCAGAAGACUUUUGGCGCAUAAAUGUUGUUUGCGCAUUAAUUAGAUAUAAGUUAGUCUAUAAUGAUGAAACUGUUGUAAACUUAGCUGGUGCCACUAAAUAUAUCUUGAAUGGCACCUAAGGUUUUCUGUGAUCCUUUUAAUUCACAUGUCAUCCACCGAAUUACAUAACUUCCUCUUUGCAGAAAUGACCGAAUUAUAUAUCAUCUACUUUAUCCCUUUUCAUUAAUAUUCAAGAUAAAACAAUGUAGGAGGUUAUUUGAUAAGUCUACUUUCCUCCUUAUCCAAAUAUCAUUGGAAAACAGCCCCUACGUGGCUGCUUUUGGAACUAGACAUAUGUUUGGUUGUCACUAAUUCUGUACAAUGCUAUUAUGCACAAAUUUGAUUAAUUAAUAUAAGCUCACGUAUGGUUUGUAAUUUUGACCCCCCACACAAGUCUCAUCUCCUCGUGACCAGGAUUUACAAUCAUGGAAUAUUCAUAGAGGGAGUUCGCAAAACUCAAGUUUCCCACAUUUUGGAUGUAAUCUAUUGUGAAGGGAAAUGUUUAGUUGAAGAUAUUAAGACCGCAUGUCCAAAGAUCUCCAACAAACCAAUGUUUAUUAUAAAUCUUGGAAACUUUUGUCCAUUCUAUCUACUUCAAAGGAUUACUGAUGCCGAGAAUGUGCACCUCAUUUUCAAGAUCGGAUGGUACCCUCCUUUAGAGUCAUCUGUUUUCAUGUUGUGUCUGCUUAAAAGUUGGAGAAAGUGUCAUACUACUUCAACAUAAAAGAUUUAUUCAUUGUUCAUGGUCAUUACACCAAUUUAUGCAGUGUUGAUAAUAAGGAUCUGGCUGAAAUAAGUGCAUUUUUUUCCUAUGGAUAA